rnacentral:rRNA from 1 species
UACGGGGGGGGCAAGCGUUGUUCGGAAUUACUGGGCGUAAAGGGUUCGUAGGUGGCUUGCUAAGUCAGACGUGAAAUCCCCGGGCUCACCCCGGGACCUGCAUCCCAAACUGCUGAGCUUGAGUACAGGAGAGGGUGGGGGAAUUCCAGGUGUAGCGGUGAAAUGCGUAGAUAUCUGGAGGAACACCGGUGGCGAAGGCGCCCACCUGGCCUGCUACUGACGCUGAUGCGCGAAAGCUAGGGGAGCAAACGGG